rnacentral:rRNA from 1 species
AUGAGGCGAACCGGGGGAACUGAAACAUCUAAGUACCCCGAGGAAAAGAAAUCAACCGAGAUUCCCCCAGUAGCGGCGAGCGAACGGGGAGGAGCCCAGAGCCUGAAUCAGCAUGUGUGUUAGUGGAAGCGUCUGGAAAGGCGCGCGAUACAGGGUGACAGCCCCGUACACAAAAGCGCAUGUGCUGUGAGCUCGAUGAGUAGGGCGGGACACGUGGUAUCCUGUCUGAAUAUGGGGGGACCAUCCUCCAAGGCUAAAUACUCCUGACUGACCGAUAGUGAACCAGUACCGUGAGGGAAAGGCGAAAAGAACCCCGGCGAGGGGAGUGAAAAAGAACCUGAAACCG